rnacentral:antisense_RNA from 1 species
AGUGGCCUCGCAGCUGGGGCAAGGGGGCAUCCCCGGCGCCGGGGAGCCGCAAGCGGAGCGAGCGCCCGGGACGCACCUGAGCCUCCAGCACUCCCCGCGGCCGCGGAAACAUUUUCCUGGGCAUCUAAAUCUAUUGUGGACCUGAGGCACUGUGCUUACAGGGCCUACUGGUUUUCACUGUAUGAGACCGAGAAUGGAUUAUGGCAGUUCCUCUUACCUCCGCUGCGUACUUGACUCCAUCCACGGUGUGCUCAGAGCCAUGAUCAUCCGAAGAGCCCCAGUGAAGAUGAAACUGGCGAAGUCGGUAAGGUCCAGGGAGAGGACCCCCUCUCAGCACUGUGAUUCAGAUAAGCUUGGUCAACAGUGAAUUCAUGCUUCUUUUACAGAGCCCUACUUUAAUCAAGUGCUCUUAGAGCCAAGGCUUAAUGGACAAAAUGUGGUCAGUUUGCUGGUGGAUGGUGCCACUCCCAGGACACUGGACUCCUCACAAAAUGAAGUCUGGGGAUAUGUCAAGAUAAAUGAUUGUUCUUUUCUGUCUUUCUUAUUUUGUUUGCUUG